CAUGCAUAACAUUAAAAUUCAAGUGUUAGAGGAGGAAAAUGAUGGAGAAAUGCAAUAGAGGAAGAGUCACAGAGGUAAAAGAACCACAGGAAGGAGAUGUAGGAUGAGAGGACUAGAAGUUAUUAUAUACCACAAAAUAACAUCUAAGGGAUCUUAUGGCCUGGAGAGAAAUGUCAGGACCAAGAUUCAGAAGAUC
rnacentral:lncRNA from 1 species